UUGACGUUGGAUUACCAGUGAGCGGCGGACGGGCUGAGUAACACGUGGGCAACCUGCCCUGAAGCGGGGGAUAACAUCUGGAAACAGGUGCUAAUACCGCAUAACAACGAAAACCACAUGGUUUUCGUUUCAAAGAUGGUUUCGGCUAUCACUUCAGGAUGGGCCCGCGGUGCAUUAGCUAGUUGGUAAGGUAACGGCUUACCAAGGCAAUGAUGCAUAGCCGAGUUGAGAGACUGAUCGGCCACAAUGGAACUGAGACACGGUCCAUACUCCUACGGGAGGCAGCAGUAGGGAAUCUUCCACAAUGGGCGCAAGCCUGAUGGAGCAACACCGCGUGAGUGAAGAAGGGUUUCGGCUCGUAAAGCUCUGUUGUUGGAGAAGAACGUGCGUGAGAGUAACUGUUCACGCAGUGACGGUAUCCAACCAGAAAGUCACGGCUAACUACGUGCCAGCAGCCGCGGUAAUACGUAGGUGGCAAGCGUUGUCCGGAUUUAUUGGGCGUAAAGCGAGCGCAGGCGGUUGCUUAGGUCUGAUGUGAAAGCCUUCGGCUUAACCGAAAGAAGGGCAUCGGUAAACCCGGGCAACUUGAGUGCAAAAGAGGACAGUGG
rnacentral:rRNA from 1 species